ACGCCAUUGAAUGCUAACUGCGUUCGUAAGCUCUUCUUAGAAGGACUGACUACCUUUAGUGGUCCGAAGUUUGAGGCAAUAACCGGUCUGUGAUGCCCUUAGAUGUUCUGGGCUGCACGCGCGCUACACUGACCGAAGCAGCGAGUAUACCACCUUGACCGGAAGGGCUGGGCAAUCUUUUUAAACUCUGUCGUGGUGGGGA
rnacentral:rRNA from 1 species